rfam:Rhizobium sp. Root483D2 contig_14, whole genome shotgun sequence.
ACAUUGCAAUCUGGUGGUGGGCUCGCUAAAGCGGCCUUGACCAGUCAUGCGUGAUUGAGACGAUAAGCCGCCCGGAAGUUUCGAGGCGGCUUUUUU